rnacentral:rRNA from 1 species
UGUCUCCCCCCUCCAAUCAGUGAAACUGAUCUCUCCGUGAAGAAGCGGGGAUAUUUGUAUAAGACGAGAAGACCCCAUGGAGCUUUAAACCCGAUGACACCCAUUUACCCUCAUACCUUGAUAUUCUAUUUGGUCCUGUUCCUUCGGUUUUAGGUUGGGGUGACCACGGAGUAUAAUACAACCUCCAUGAAAAAAGGAAUAAUAAUCCUUAUUAGAGAACAACACUUCAAAAAAUUAAUACAUUAAUUUAUAAUGAUCCGAUAUUCGAUCAACGAACCAAGUUACCCUGGGGAUAACAGCGCAAUCCACUUCAAGAGCUCCUAUCGACAAGCGGGUUUA